rnacentral:lncRNA from 1 species
GACUACAGAUUUCUUGGCUGUAGUUUUCUGCAUCAGAUUAAAAAAAAACAAACUUUCUUGACAUCUAUGUAAAAUAUAAACCUUUGACAAGAAUCAUGAAAUAUGUCACAGUUAGCUGCUGUUGGAAAUUAACGUAGCUUAUAAGUUGUACUAUAUAAUUUUAUGCAUAACUGAACUUAAAAGAGACUGACCAGCUUUGAGAGCUUAUUAUCAAUGGUAAGGUUCUUUGUUCUACCAAAAAUUAUACAAAUAGUGGUUUUUGGAAUUUGAAAUAGCAACUCAGCCUCCCCCAGUCCAGUGUUAAAGUAAGGGUAUUUCUGUUAGUCUCAACCUCAAACUCAAUAGGGCUCUUUGUUCAUACAUUUAUCAGAGAGCAUUCCUUCCUUGCUUCAAGGAAUGCUACAAGUUAGCCGUAGUCCUGCCUAUUACUACCGGCACAGAGAAAUACCUCUUGCUAUUGAAAAGAGUAUGACAAGCGUGUGAAAAGUGAGUCCCAAAUCAACUCCCUACCUCAUUUUGCACCAGGGCCAUGUUUUCUGAAAACUUUCUCCGGAUCCUAGUGUGAUUUCUCUUUUUAAUCUUCCAGAUUGGCCUGGGCCCAAAACACUCAGGACCCUCGGAUUGCAGUGGGUUCCCAGUCCCCACUAGAAAAGAAGAUUAAGAGUUUAGGUGAUGUCCAUUCUUCAAAAGUGAGGAAGUUUUUGCUCCAAAAGUCUCAGCAGGAGAAUGAAACACUCCAUCAGCUCAAAGCAGUGUCUUUUGACUUCCGGUUUGCCAAAGCAGAGGCAUACU